GUUUUCUGGAGCCGAGAAAACCUGAGUUUUUGCGCUUAGGUUACUUUUAUCUGGCUGAAACUUUACCUAUAAGCUUUUGAGGCUCAAACACGGAGUCUUUGUUCUGCAUGGGACUGCCGCUGCCACUUAAAGAGAUCGCAGAUAAUGUCCCCGAUUUAAGAUCAGUGCUCAAUGCACAUUAACUUUCUUUCUUUCUUUCUUUUUUAAGCUCUGCCUCUAACCUACGGAGGGAUCACGCGGCAGUGGGGGGCAGAUAAAAGUCCUUUGGCCGAGGGUCACCUCCGUCCUUGUUGUUCACUUGAGAGCAGUGGAGAGGAAAACGGUCCCCACGGGCGGACUUUGGCUUCUGGAGCCGCGGAGCCCAGCGGUCCGGGCCUCCCCGAGCUCCGCCUGGUCCAAGAGUGACUUGGGAGAGCUGGCUCCAGGAGGCGGACCUCGGCCUAGUUUGCUGGCUGGAAUAGAACUCUAUUUCGAGGCAAUCAAUCAAUCUGCAGAAAACAAAAAUGGAAGUCGAGGUUUGGGAAGAGUUGUCUCAUCCCCAACUUGAGUGGUGCGGGCUGGGGGCGGAGACUCGGGACUGAUGAGAAGCCCUUUUUCCCACCUCAGCUCCUUUCCCUGGACUUCCAGAAGGAAGAAUUACCCUCUUCAGCCCCCUUGUUCCCCAUACUCAUCCCCGCGUGGCCGCCGACACUUUUCCGCCCCUCUUUUUCCUUUCAAGCGAGAAAAGCCUAAUUCCCGAGCCAGUGGAGUCGGUCCUCUCGCCCCUCCCGCUCCCACGCGGGUCCCCCUCUCUUCAGCCAUCGCUACUGCCACCACCUCGGUUCCACUCAAUCGAUUUUUGCUGCAUGUCAACACUUAUUACCGAGGGCUUGGGUGAUUGGAAACAAGUUUGACAAGAAAGGAAUCUGGGUGAGGUGCCACCGUGGAAGUGGAGAGAAGAUGAGGCCAUAGAGGCUGGAGCAGCUGCCAAGCCAAGACUCUGCUGGACUCUGUAGUCACGUGCAAUGCCUUGUCGAGGACAGAGGGUUCGGAAGAGCUGUUGCCAACACAACUUCAUGGAUGGGAGAAAGUUAUGUCUCUCUCUUUGCAUCCUUCUUCUUUAACUUCCCUUCAUUUCCUGCCAUCCCAUUUCUUCCUUUUCCGUGGGCCCUUCUUCACCUCAGGAGGCUCUCCCCAGAGUUUUGGCUGCUCCUGGAUUAUCCUCCUUUUGUCCCCUCUUUUGAACUAAGGCUUCCUAGUGUUUACUCUUCCAGAUAUGAAAAGUUGCUUUAUCCAGUCUACUUGUAAACCAUUUGUAUUCAUAAAUAUGGAGUGCUUGAGUGACCAGUAAAGGUGUCAGGACCGAUAAGUAAAGCAUGCAACAUUGGAAUAUGCUUUUUCACAGCAACAGAGGGACUGCGAACAUUCUUUUAAUAAGGCUAUGCUGGAAAUAGGAUGUCCAGGAGAGGUCAGUGAAUAGCGAACUUUUCAUCCCAGGCGGUGUUGCCCUUGGUAUUAUGACCACCAAAGUGGGACAUCUCAGUUCAGUUUACUGUUCUCAGUUUGGAAGUUCCUUUUGCCUGAAACUACCACUUACGCAUAUUGUCAAAAUUAUAUAUUCUAAAAGAACCCAGAUACAGUCCUGUGUAGAGUUUAUGUGCUAAUAUGAAUUCCUUUCUGCAUCUCUCCAAACAAAGCUACUUAUUUUUCUUGUGUUAUAUCCUAUUGUUGUUCACUCAGCAGUGUAUUAUGGUGAUUUCUGUUCCGUUCAUGGUUAGAAAACACCUUCAUUGUCAUCCUACAUUUCCAGAUUAGAAUUUAGUAGAAAGAUAUCUUCCUCCACAGAAGAGUUGCCCUAUUUCCAACCCUCAUUGAUUCCUUUUCCUUUCUAACUUCUUCCAACAUCUCUUUUAGAGAUAAUUCUACCCUCACGAUUCUUUCCUUUUUACUUUUAAAAUUUCAUUUCUGGGGACUCAGUGUUUCCAUAACUGAAAACUUUUUUUUUUUUUAAUCUAUAUUACUCCCUUGUCAGUUACCCUGUGGGAUGUUUUACCAUGAGUAAGAUUUUGGGAUCAUUUUCUUUUAAGUUUUUUUUGUUGGAGCCUGGAACCACACUUGCUAAGUAGUAGGUGUUCAAUAAAUGCCUAUUGAUCAAAUGGUAUAAUUAAAAA
ensembl:lncRNA